UCUCUACUGGCUCAGAUGGUAAAGAAUCUGCCUGCAAUGCAGGAGACCUGGGUUUGAUCUCUGGGUAGGGAA
rnacentral:tRNA from 1 species